rnacentral:lncRNA from 1 species
AAAAAAAAAAAGAGGCAUAAACCAAGAAGGGCUCUUAGCUCAUCUCCAUCUUCCUCCUGUGCUCAUGGCAGACAUUACAAGUCAUUUACAGCACUCUUUCCUGCGCAGCCUCCUGCAGCUUAGCAUCCUUCUCAAGGCAGCAUGAGAGUCAGCCAUCCAAUGCAGCAGAGUUGGCACACUGGGUGAAACAUACUUGCUGCAACUGCUCUAAAGCAACAGCUUCUACUGUCAAGAAGAGGGUGGAUGCCAUCGAGCAGUAUUUUUCAGAGGUGUGUGGACCACUUGUUCUUCAAGAUAAUCUAGAUAAAGCAGGCCUAUGGUCAAAGUCUGGAGCAGUACAAAACCCAGUCAGAGGAUGUCUCUAUCAUUCCCACGCAGGUAGGGACUUCCACUCUUGGAAAAAUGCCUCCCUUUGUCUGAGAAAGACAGCAGAUCAUCACAUCAUUUUCCUGAGAAUAGUGGAUCCCAUAUUUAACGUUUUAAAGCUGACAGAUAAAAAUUUCCAAGGU